CGUGCUAAGGUAGCAUAAUCAUUUGUUUUUUAAUUGAAAACUGGAAUGAAUGGUAAAACUAGUAUAUUUAGUCUGUUUGUCUAAAAAGAAAGUUAAGUAAAAGUAAGAAUUCUUUUUUAUUACUAGGGGACGAUAAGACCCUAAAAGCUUAAUGAAUAGGUUGUUAGUGGUGGUAUAAAGAAGUUUGUUUUACUGGGGCGGUAGGUAUAUUUAAACUAUAACGUUUAUUGAAUGAUCCUGCGUAUGUGGAUAAAAUGGAGAAGUUACUUUAGGGAUAACAGUACAAUUAUUUUGGAGAGAUCUUAUCGAUAAAGAAGCUUGUAACCUCGAUGUUGAAUUAGUAAGUCUACGUGGAGCAGUAAAUACGUAAGAAGGUUUGUUCAACCUUUAAAUUAUUACAUGAUCUGAGUUCAAACCGGA
rnacentral:rRNA from 1 species